UAAUUUUCCCUGAUGCCCCUCCGUCACUUGCAGUGCUCACAUCUUCUUCAGCAGUUUAACAAGACACGUGUAAUCACCAGGAAUGAGGAAAAAGGGCAUGAGGUUUGUGUGUAUAAAUAGAAGGAGAUGUUAAAAUAUCACAAUGUGAGUAAAAUCAGCUUGGAGGGGUGAAAACGCAGAGAUGUGCUGAGGCUUUGUUCUUCACUGGGACAACACUGAGAGGAUCAGAGCUCCGGAAACAAGGCUGCACUGCUGUGAGGAGGCGAAGAUGAAGGGAGCACAGAGGAGGAGCGGAGGAAGAUCGGGCCCUAAUCUUUCCUCCAGGCACCUUCACGCUGGAGCACUCUCAUCACCAUGGCCAGAGCCUCUUUGCUCAAGUGCAACCAUGUUGCAAGAGAAAGGUUUGACGUGAUGACAUCAGAGUCAUGUGACAACAGGCUGCUGGCUCACUGAGGACUGAUGUUUUACUGACUGAAUAGUAAAGUAAAUAAGCACCAGUUUAACGGAUUAGUUGUGACCAUGAAUGUUUAUGGCUGAGUUCAUUCUGUAAUUUGAGGAGCAGAGUCAUAAUAUUGUUUUAUAACUGAGUUAUAUUUAAUAGUUGUACAUUUAUAAAAACUCAAAUUAGAGCUGAGAGUCAAAUUAAAUAUAUAACAUGAUUAAAGCACUUUAUAAAAAUGUCAUGUCUAUAUUUGUCUUCCUGAAGUGAAAUAAAACUGAAAACUUUACACUGUA